GUGCUGACGAGUGGCGAACGGGUGAGUAAUGCAUCGGAACGUGCCCAAUCGUGGGGGAUAACGCAGCGAAAGCUGUGCUAAUACCGCAUACGAUCUAAGGAUGAAAGCGGGGGACUCAGCAAUGGGCCUCGCGCGAUUGGAGCGGCCGAUGUCAGAUUAGGUAGUUGGUGGGGUAAAGGCUCACCAAGCCAACGAUCUGUAGCUGGUCUGAGAGGACGACCAGCCACACUGGAACUGAGACACGGUCCAGACUCCUACGGGAGGCAGCAGUGGGGAAUUUUGGACAAUGGGCGCAAGCCUGAUCCAGCAAUGCCGCGUGCAGGAAGAAGGCCUUCGGGUUGUAAACUGCUUUUGUACGGAACGAAAAGGCUCUGGUUAAUACCUGGGGCUCAUGACGGUACCGUAAGAAUAAGCACCGGCUAACUACGUGCCAGCAGCCGCGGUAAUACGUAGGGUGCGAGCGUUAAUCGGAAUUACUGGGCGUAAAGCGUGCGCAGGCGGUUUUGUAAGACAGUCGUGAAAUCCCCGGGCUCAACCUGGGAAUGGCGAUUGUGACUGCAAGGCUGGAGUGCGGCAGAGGGGGAUGGAAUUCCGCGUGUAGCAGUGAAAUGCGUAGAUAUGCGGAGGAACACCGAUGGCGAAGGCAAUCCCCUGGGCCUGCACUGACGCUCAUGCACGAAAGCGUGGGGAGCAAACAGGAUUAGAUACCCUGGUAGUCCACGCCCUAAACGAUGUCAACUGGGUUGUUGGGUCUCUUCCUGACUCAGUAACGAAGC
rnacentral:rRNA from 1 species